CUGAGGGUUUUCUUGGGGGCUCCUGCAGCCUCAGACCGGGUAGAGUCUGGAGAGGAGGCGGCACAAGGUGGAGGGAGGUGCUGGGAGCUCCAGUUCCUAAAUUGGGAGGAAAGGGGGGCCAGGCUCCAGCCCCCUUCUGUACCCCAACCUCUCCCCGUGCCGCCCCCACAGACCCUGCAGUUCCCACUGGUCAUGGACCAGGUAGGGGAGGUUGGCAUGGGCAACUCUGUCCUCGGAUGCCAAGGCUCAGAGAGGACAGUGACUUGUCACACAGUGAUCUGCUGAGGAGAAGCCUGAAAUCUGGCCCUGAGACCCCAUGUGGUCCCCAGUAUGGGAGUCCUUUCCAUCCCUGCCCCAUGGCAUCUGCAGUCUCUCAAGCCCUGGGCUGGGCUCACUCCUGCCCCUAACCUUCCUCCUAGCACCAAUGCCAGCCAUCCAGUGGGGACUGAAACCUCAGAAAGCAGGUGUGAGUCUGUCUGCCCCCAGGCCCCACAUCCCAGAGGGACAAACUCUCAGCUAGGUCUAUCCUCUGUCCCCACCCCAGAUCAGGGUCACCCCUCCAUCACCCUUUUUCCCUAGGCUGCCUCAGCUAUUCAGGCACCCGAAGGCCAGGAAGUCCCUCCCCGAGUCUACCCUCUUCUACCCUCUUGCUCUUUUUUUUUUUUUUUUUUUUUGAGACAGUCUCGCUCUGUCACCCAGGCUGGAAUGCAGUGGUGCAAUUUUGGCUCACUGCAAAAUAAGCCUCCCAAGUAGUUGGCAUUACAGGCACGCACCACCAUACCUGGCUAAUCUUUGUAUUUUUGUAGAGACGGGGUUUCAUCACAUUGGACAGGCUGGUCUAGAACUCCUGGCUUCAAGUGAUCCGCCCACCUCAGCCUCCCAAAGUGCUGGGAUUACAGGCGUGAGCCACUGCGCCCAGUCUCUUGCUGCUCUCUAAGUUUCUUCUGGUUCCAUUCCCUGUGGACAGGAAAAAUCUCUGCUUCCCCUUCAGAGUCCCUAAGGUCGAUCUUUGGCCUCCAAGGAGUCAGGGGAGACCUGGGUCUCCCGCACUGACUUCCUUUCUCCUCACAGGGCACCAGCCUCCAAAUGGCUAUGGACCAGGAGCAGAACCAGGUGAGGAGGCCCUUCCUUCCACCCCUCCCUUCCCCUCCUCUUCCCUCCUCUUCCUUCUGCCAUCCCAGGAAGAGGGGAGGCCAGGGCUGUGGCUCUCGCUGACCCCCAUCUCUGAGUCACAGUUUUCUCUCCCCCAGGUUUUAAUGGUGGCCUCGGGCCACAGAAAAUUGGUGAGUCCUCCUGGGCCCCCCACCCAUGUUGAGCGGAAGCUGGCAUCUCCCUCAUGCCUGAGUCAGUCUGUCUGUCCGCAUCCCCCUGUCUAUGAGCUGGUCACCUGACCCUCCUGAUGCUGUCCCUGUUCCACUAGGCUGUCCCUAGCUCCUCUCCAGUCUCUGUCCUGCAGGUUUAAGUUAUGGGAAUGGUGUCCUGGGAGCCAGGGUCUUCCCCGAGGCCCACCCACAGCCAGGUGCCUGGGGAGCAGGGGUGGGGGUGGGAGAGUUGGGCUCAGGGCCCCAGCCCGACCUCUGACACCCUCUUUCCUCCUCCAGGGUUC
rnacentral:lncRNA from 1 species